rnacentral:lncRNA from 1 species
AUAUAAAAAAGAAAAUGUGGUAUGAUUGCCAAUGAGACAACUAUCCACAAAAGACCAAAAUGACACAGAUAUUAACAACUAUAGGUCACCGUACAGCCUUCAACAAUGAGCAAAGCCCAUACCGCAUAGUCAGCUAUAAUAGGCCCCAAUAAGACAAUGUAAAACAAUUCAAACGAGAAAACUAACGGCCUUAUUUAUGUAAAAAAAUGAACGAAAA